rnacentral:rRNA from 1 species
UGAACAAACAAAUAGUUCAUAGGGAGGAGGUGUCGGUGUCAGAGAGAGGGGGAAUGGGCGUGCGCGACAAGCUCGAAAUUUUCUAAUCUUCUGAUGAUAACUGGUUCAAAACCAGCGGCCAUCAAGGCUUUUCCUAAUAUUCUAGGGGAAAAACCUGUUCGAUGAGCCAUAAAUAUAUUUCCAGCUGAAAUCGCGGCACCGUGUCCAAAAAUAAUAUCCAAAGCUCCAAUCGGACCUACUGGUGAUAUAUAGAGAGGUUCUUCAACAUUGUCUUCAGAAACCUGCUUUGCAACUCCUUGCAGGUCAGGGACAGCAAUGAUAGCGCCCACCCCUUUGGGGUAUCCAUUUCUGAAUUCAUAGGAAAUGGAGGCGAACCCGGUGAACUGAAACAUCUCAGUAACCGGAGGAAAGGACAUCAACCGAGACUCCGUUAGUAGUGGCGAGCGAACGCGGACUAGCCCAGUGACUUGAAGUUUCUAACCAGAACGGCAUGGAAAGGCCGGCCACAGCGGGUGACAGCCCCGUAUGGGUGUUGCAGCUUUAAGUCCUUGAGUAGGGCGGGGCACGUGAAACCCUGUCUGAACAUGGGGGGACCACCCUCCAAGGCUAAGUACUCCUUGACGACCGAUAGUGAACCAGUACCGUGAGGGAAAGGUGAAAAGCACCCCGAUGAGGGGAGUGAAACAGUUCCUGAAACCGGAUGCCUACAAGCAGUCGGAGCUCCUUCGGGGGUGACGGCGUACCUUUUGUAUAAUGGGUCAGCGACUUAAUCUGGCGAGCAAGCUUAAGCCGAUAGGUGGAGGCGCAGCGAAAGCGAGUCUUAAGAGGGCGUCGAGUUCGUCGGAUUAGACCCGAAACCGGGUGAUCUAGCCAUGGGCAGGUUGAAGGUGGAGUAACACCCACUGGAGGACCGAACCCACGUCUGUUGAAAAAGACGGGGAUGACCUGUGGCUAGGGGUGAAAGGCCAAUCAAACUCGGAAAUAGCUGGUUCUCCGCGAAAGCUAUUUAGGUAGCGCGUCGGAUGAUGGGAGAACCAGCUAUUUCCGAGUUUGAUUGGCCUUUCACCCCUAGCCACAGGUCAUCCCCGUCUUUUUCAACAGACGUGGGUUCGGUCCUCCAGUGGGUGUUACUCCACCUUCAACCUGCCCAUGGCUAGAUCACCCGGUUUCGGGUCUAAUCCGACGAACUCGACGCCCUCUUAAGACUCGCUUUCGCUGCGCCUCCACCUAUCGGCUUAAGCUUGCUCGCCAGAUUAAGUCGCUGACCCAUUAUACAAAAGGUACGCCGUCACCCCCGAAGGAGCUCCGACUGCUUGUAGGCAUCCGGUUUCAGGAACUGUUUCACUCCCCUCAUCGGGGUGCUUUUCACCUUUCCCUCACGGUACUGGUUCACUAUCGGUCGUCAAGGAGUACUUAGCCUUGGAGGGUGGUCCCCCCAUGUUCAGACAGGGUUUCACGUGCCCCGCCCUACUCAAGGACUUAAAGCUUCAACACCCAUACGGGGCUGUCACCCGCUGUGGCCGGCCUUUCCAUGCCGUUCUGGUUAGAAACUUCAAGUCACUGGGCUAGUCCGCGUUCGCUCGCCACUACUAACGGAGUCUCGGUUGAUGUCCUUUCCUCCGGUUACUGAGAUGUUUCAGUUCACCGGGUUCGCCUCCAUUUCCUAUGAAUUCAGAAAUGGAUACCCCAAAGGGGUGGGUUGCCCCAUUCGGAAAUCCACGGAUCAAAGCCUGCUCUCGGCUCCCCAUGGCUUAUCGCAGAGUGCCACGUCCUUCAUCGCCUCUUGACGCCUAGGCAUCCACCAGAUGCCCUUCUCUUGCUUGAUAAAACGCGCAGGGGUCAACCCGACCCCAAACGCGCAGAUACUCAGCGCUUGUACAUAAUUCCCAUUGCUCCGAACAGUUCCCUGUUCGGAACGACAUCAAAACCCUCUUUACAAUGUCAAAUAGCAGAAAACGCGACGCCCGAAGGGCGUUUCUGAUCUCUUGGCGUUGUCUUUUAGUUGGGACAAGGCCUUGCGGCCUAGAUUAAGGCUGGGGAAGCUUGCUUCCCCAGACCCCUUGCUUUUGGUGGGCCUGGGACGACUUGAACGUCCGACCUCACGCUUAUCAGGCGUGCGCUCUAACCACCUGAGCUACAGGCCCAAAGCCUUGCCCAAAAGACAUAAACGCCGAAAGAGAUGGGAGGACGGCCCCAGAAAAACCAAGACCGGAUUUAGUCAUGAUCAAGUGAAGAUCGGGAUUGCUCCAGAUCGUCCUUGAAAGGAGGUGAUCCAGCCGCAGGUUCCCCUACGGCUACCUUGUUACGACUUCACCCCAGUCGCUGACCCUACCGUGGCCGGCUGCCUCCUUGCGGUUAGCGGACCGUCUUCGGGUAGAACCAACUCCCAUGGUGUGACGGGCGGUGUGUACAAGGCCCGGGAACGUAUUCACCGUGGCAUGCUGAUCCACGAUUACUAGCGAUUCCGACUUCAUGCACCCGAGUUGCAGAGUGCAAUCCG